UUUUUUUUCAACUUUGUUGGAAAGACUGGUUUAGCGCAUAACCAUCCUUAUAACAUAUUAAUUGUCGGUUGUUUUUUUAUUUUAGGAAGCAAACUUGUGUAUUUUUUUAAAAAUAAAAACACACAUAAUAUUUAAGUAUAAACGGUGAAAUUCAACAUAAUUCAUAAAUUUGCACGUUUGUUCAAAUUCUCAACUAGUAUAUGUUCAUCCUUAUUCCAAAUGAGAGUUUUUUCAUAAAAUAGCGGUGAUUAGAGCCAAGGAACAAAAGUGUUCAAAAGUUGUAACAAUGUAAUAGUUCAUAAAGUUGUAACCAUUAAAAGUUAUAAACAUGCAAGAAAUCUGCAGUGUGUCAGCAUUCGCCCAAUCUCAUUUAUGUUAACUGUUUAAAAUACAUUUCAAGGUGGUGCUCAAGAUGGUAUUCAAAAUGGUAUAUAAAAUGAUAUUCGAGAUGGUAUUUAAGAUGGUAUUUAAGAUGGUAUUUAAGAUAUUUCAAGAUACUAUUCGAGACCAUAUUCAACAUUACAUUCAAAAUAAAGAUUUUAUUUUGAAUGUAAUUGUCUGUUUUGGAGUUGUGCUGCACAAACGUUUAUUUAAUUACAACUUUUAAAGAAAUAUAUACAAACCUAAAUGCUUUUAAAAACAAUGAACAGUUAACAAAUAAUGUGUCAAAACUAGCGAAAAAAAACUAAUUAAUACCAGCAGAAAAAGUCUAAUUAAUACCAGCAGAUAACAAUGCAAAUAGUAGCAUAUUAAAAAAUAAUUGUCGCAAAUAUCAAAAUCAUUGUUGCAAAUAUCAAAAUCAUCGUUGCAAAUAUCAAAAUCAUCGUCGCAAAUAUCAAAAUUAUUGUCGCAAAUAUCGAAAGCGUCCCAAGCCUCAGCAAAUAGUAUUACAAAAAUGAUAAGCUGUUUUAUCCUUGGGUUCUUUUUAAAAUUGAAGAAUGUAGCUAAAGUGCGUUCAAGCCAAGCUUACUGGUUCAAAAUAAGUUUAAAACUUCAUUAUAAUGAAAAGUAAAGUUUAUAUAAAGUACAUUCAUGAUGACAUCCAGUACAAACUAUUCCACACCAUAGCACCAAACGUUUUAAGAGUUUCAACACUUUGAGGAAAAAAUUAUAUUCCAUCGUGACUAAUAAGGGGACGAGUUUAAAUUUUUUGGAUAUUUAUAUGAAGUUUUAUAAAUUUGCUAAUUAAAUAUGAUAAUAUUGUAAAUUAAUCUAUUGACAUUCUUUUGAAGUCUCACUUGAAUUUAAACAAUUAACGUGCCCACGGUUACAACCUCGUACAAACUACUAAUUAAAGAUGCAAUUCUCUAUGAUGUUAUGGGAACCGUGUGGGAAGAUGCGCAUUAGUUAAAUAUUCACCAAAAUAAGAAUGUAUGUUGAGAAGCAUCUUGCAGAACAUAUAAAGAGAAGAACUUAAAUAAUAGCAAUCUUUUUAUAACCAAAAGCUUUAUAACUUUGUGAAACUAGGUGGAACAUUAGGGAAAAAUGUUUUAAAUAAACACCAUAUAAUUGUGAUGCUUUGAUAGAGUUAUAGGAGCAAUUUUGGGCAGAAAAUUUGGAUUUUAAUGCAAGAUGAAAAAUGUUAAAAAGAAAAUCAACCUGUGGAGUAUUUAUUUUGGUUUGAGCUAAAGGUAACGUCUGUAUGCAAUCACGGAGAUCUUCUCAAAAACUUUAUAGAUUGAAAAGAACCUAUCGUUGAAGAAAAAUUAUUGUUUAAAAUUUGAAAAAUAUACGCAAAAAGCUAAAUUUUAAAUUAAUUUAUAAAAAAAUAAAACAGUCAAAUAAAAGUCAUUUCACUGCUUAUUCUCCUGAGAAAACAAAGUUAACUCGAUUAGAAAAUCGUUGAGAAAACAAAUUUAACUCUAUACUACAUUUUGGCACAGGAAACCCCGAGGUAACUGAAGCAGCCUUUUAUCCAAAAAAUAUGUAUGAAUAUUACAAAUCAAUCUACCUAUGAAACUCUUGAUUUUACUUACCUACGUAUGAAACUCUUGAUUCUACUUAUCUACGUAUGAAACUCUUGGUUCUAUAAUUAAUGCCAUCAAAGAUUAGUUUUUUGUUGUCACAUGGAACACGAAUGUAAUCCAGGAAUUAUCUUAUCGUCAUAUUUUACAUUCUAAUGUUUAAAACUGUGUUGUUUCUUCGCCUUUUUUCUUAUCUUUAAGACAACUCUUUAAAAAAAAUUUUUUUCAAAUUUGUUUCUCUGCUGAUUUAUGUUUUACGUUUUAAAGUAUAAAGAAGUUGUUCUAGAGUUUUUAGAGAGUUUCUCCUUAAAUUAGACGUCAAACGCUUAUAUAGGGGAAGUGGGUGCAUGACCGCCCCCGUAACGUUUGGAGUAAUGUUAUAUGAAAAUAAAAACGAAAUGUGUUUUUUUAA
rnacentral:lncRNA from 1 species